rnacentral:rRNA from 1 species
AGUGAACGCUGGCGGUAGGCCUAACACAUGCAAGUCGAACGGCAGCACAGUAAGAGCUUGCUCUUACGGGUGGCGAGUGGCGGACGGGUGAGGAAUACAUCGGAAUCUACUUUUUCGUGGGGGAUAACGUAGGGAAACUUACGCUAAUACCGCAUACGACCUACGGGUGAAAGCAGGGGAUCUUCGGACCUUGCGCGAUUGAAUGAGCCGAUGUCGGAUUAGCUAGUUGGCGGGGUAAAGGCCCACCAAGGCGACGAUCCGUAGCUGGUCUGAGAGGAUGAUCAGCCAAACUGGAACUGAGACAAGGUCCAGACUCCUAAGGGAGGGAGCCGUGGGGAAUAUUGGACAAUGGGCGCAAGCCUGGUCCAGCCAUAACGCGUGGGUGAAGAAGGCCUUCGGGUUGUAAAGCCCUUUUGUUGGGAAAGAAAAGCAGCAGGUUAAUACCCCGCUGUUCUGACGGUACCCAAAGAAUAAGCACCGGCUAACUUCGUG